AUUGAACGCUGGCGGCAUGCCUUACACAUGCAAGUCGAACGGUAACGGGCCUUCGGGUGCCGACGAGUGGCGAACGGGUGAGUAAUACAUCGGAACGUGCCCGAUCGUGGGGGAUAACGAGGCGAAAGCUUUGCUAAUACCGCAUACGAUCUACGGCUGAAAGCAGGGGACCGCAAGGCCUUGCGCGGACGGAGCGGCCGAUGGCAGACUAGGUAGUUGGUGGGAUAAAAGCUUACCAAGCCGACGAUCUGUAGCUGGUCUGAGAGGAUGAUCAGCCACACUGGGACUGAGACACGGCCCAGACUCCUACGGGAGGCAGCAGUGGGGAAUUUUGGACAAUGGGCGCAAGCCUGAUCCAGCCAUGCCGCGUGCAGGAUGAAGGCCUUCGGGUUGUAAACUGCUUUUGUACGGAACGAAAAGCCUUCUUUUAAUACAGGAGGGUCAUGACGGUACCGGAAGAAUAAGCACCGGCUAACUACGUG
rnacentral:rRNA from 1 species